rnacentral:rRNA from 1 species
GUCAAGCUACGAAAGGGUACAUGGUGGAUGUCUAGGUGCUAAGAGACGAGGAAGGACGUGGAAGACUGCGAAAAGCCUCGGGGAGCUGUCAACCGAGCGUUGAUCCGGGGAUGUCCGAAUGGGGCAACCUGCUUCGGGUAAAUACCGGAGCAUCGGUACCUGAAUCUAUAGGGUAUCGAGGUGAACGGAGCGAAGUGAAACAUCUCAGUAGCUCCAGGAAGAGAAAGAGAUAAUCGAUUUCCUCAGUAGCGGCGAGCGAACAGGAAAGAGCCCAAACCAGUUGUGUGGAGAAGCCCUUGUGCGUUGCACGGCUGGGGUCGAGGGAGCUGUCCGACUGCAGGUCAAGGACUGCGGGGAAAGUUAGCAAGAUAUGAUUUAGCUGAAUAGAGCAGGAAAGCCUAACCGGAGAAGGUGAAAGUCCUGUAGGCGAAAAGUCAUAUCCUUUCUGGACGGCAACCCAAGUAGCAUCCGUCUCGUGGAAGCGGGUGUGAAGUAAGGGGGCCCACCCCCUAAGGCUAAAUACUUCUUAGCGACCGAUAGUGAACCAGUAGCGCGAGCGAAAGAUGAAAAGUACCCCUGUUAGGGGAAUGAAAGAGAACCUGAAACCAUGUACUUACGAGCGGUGGGAGCACUAUGGGUGAGAGCCCAGUGUGACCGCGUGCCUUUUGCAUAAUGAACCGGCGAGUUACUCUAUAUUGCAAGGUUAAGUCUUUUAAGGGACGGAGCCCGAGCGAAAGCGAGUGUGAAGAGCGCGAUAUGAGUAGUAUAGAGUAGACCCGAAACCAGGUGAUCUACCCUUGGUCAGGAUGAAGUGGGUGUAAAAGCUCAUGGAGGUCCGAACGCACUUGCGUUGAAAAGCGAGGCGAUGAACUGAGGGGAGGAGUAAAAGUCUAAUCAAACCUGGUGAUAGCUGGUUCUCCCCGAAAUAGCUUUAGGGCUAGCCUUCUGGAAGUAGAGAAUGGGGGUAGAGAUACUGAUUGGAACUUGGGGCCUACCCGGCUACCAAAUCCAGUCAAACUCCGAAUACCAUUUUCCGUAUCAGAGGAGUCAGACUGUGGGGGAUAAACUUCAUGGUCAAGAGGGAAACAACCCAGACCGACAGCUAAGGUCCCUAAGAUAGGCUAAGUGGUAAAGGAAGUGAGGGUGCGAAGACAGUUAGGAUGUUGGCUUAGAAGCAGCAAUCAUUUAAAAAGUGCGUAAUAGCUUACUAACCGAGCACGCUUGCGCCGAAAAUAUUACGGGGCUGAAGCCUAUUACCGAAGCUUCGGAUUUGGAGGGUUAUGCGUAACCUUUCAAGUGGUAGGGGAGCGUUCUACGGUAGGUUGAAGAGAGACUGAGAAGACUCUUGGACGAGGUAGAAGUGAUAAUGCCGGUAUGAGUAGCGACAAUAUAAGUGAGAAUCUUAUUCGCCGUAAGCCUAAGGUUUCCUGGGGAAGGUAAAUCCGCCCAGGGUUAGCCGGGGCCUAAGUCGAGGCUGAAAGGCGUAGACGAUGGACAGCGGGUUAAUAUUCCUGCGCCACCACGCAAGCGUUUGAGCAUGGGGGGACGAAGCGGCAAAGGUUAGCAGGCCACUAGAUACGGUCUGUUCAAGCCGGAGGUGUUGUCUCAGGCAAAUCCGAGACACUAAGGCACCGAGGGUGAGCACGUGGGCAUUGAGCCCGGAAGUAACCGGAGCGGUUUCCGAGAAAAGCCUCGUUAGCGAGUUUGAGUGGUGCCCGUACUAAAACUGACACAGGUAGGCGAGGAGAGAAUCCUAAGGCGCUCGAGAGAACCCUCGUUAAGGAACUCGGCAAAAUAACUCCGUAACUUCGGGAGAAGGAGUGCCCCGGGCGACCGGGGUCGCAGUGAAGAGGCCUGGGCGACUGUUUACUAAAAACACAAGUCUCUGCGAAGAUGAAAAAUCAAGGUAUAGAGACUGACGCGUGCUCGAUGCCAGAACGUUAAGGGGAUGGGUCAGUGUUCUUCGGGAUGCGAAGCUCAGAACUGAAGCGCUGGUGAAUGGCGGCUCUAACUAUGAGAGUCCUAAGGUAGCGAAGUUCCUUGUCAGAUAAUUACUGACGUGCAUGAAUCGCGUAACGACCUAGGCACUGUCUCAACGAGGGACUCGGCGAAAUUGUAGUCGUGGUGAAGAUGCCACGUACCCGCGGCAAGACGGAAAGACCCCGUGAACCUUUACUGUAGCCUAUUAUUGGGUUUUGUCAUGGUAUGCGUAGGAUAGGUGGGAGACGAGGAAGUCCUGGCCCUGGCCGGGAUGGAGUCGCCGGUGAAAUACCACCCUUAUCAUGGUAAAGUCCUAACCACAGUCCGUGAAUCCGGAUGUGGGACAGUGAUAGGUGGGCAGUUUGACUGGGGCGGUCUCCUCCUAAAGAGUAACGGAGGAGUCCAAAGGCUUUCUCAGUGCGCUUGGCAACCGCACGAAGAGUGUAAGGGCAAAAGAAAGCUUAACUGCAAGACCCAUAAGUCGAGCAGAUGUGAAAGCAGGGCCUAGUGAUCCGGUGGUAGUGUGUGGAAACGCCAUCGCUCAACAGAUAAAAGGUACUCCGGGGAUAACAGGCUUAUCGCUCCCGAGCGUCCAUAGCGGCGGAGCGGUUUGGCACCUCGAUGUCGGCUCAUCGCAUCCUGGGGCUGGAGAAGGUCCCAAGGGUUCUGGAGUUCACAGAUUAAAGCGGUACGCGAGCUGGGUUUAGACCGUCGUGAGACAGGUCGGUCCCUAUCUGCCGUGGGUGUGUGAUAUUUGAGGAGAUCUGUCCCUAGUACGAGAGGACCGGGAUGGACGUACCUCUGGUGUACCAGUUGUCGUGCUAACGGCAUCGCUGGGUAGCUAUGUACGGAAAGGAUAAAUGCUGAAAGCAUAUAAGCAUGAAGCCUACUCCAAGACGAGAUAUCAUUUCCCUUAACCGGGUGAGAGGCACCUUGGAGAUGACAAGGUCGAUAGGCCAGAGGUGUAAGCACAGUAAUGUGCUCAGCUGACUGGUACUAAUACGCCGAAAAGCUUGACGUA